rnacentral:rRNA from 1 species
UACGAAGGGUGCAAGCGUUACUCGGAAUUACUGGGCGUAAAGCGCACGUAGGCGGUUUGUUAUGUCGGAUGUGAAAGCCCUUGGCUCAACUGAGGAAGUGCAUCCGAAACUGGCAGCUAGAGUACUAAAGAGGGUCGCGGAAUUCCCGGUGUAGAGGUGAAAUUCGUAGAUAUCGGGAGGAACACCGGUGGCGAAGGCGGCGACCUGGGUAGAUACUGACGCUGAGGUGCGAAAGCGUGGGGAGCAAACAGG